rnacentral:rRNA from 1 species
UAGAGUUUGAUCCUGGCUCAGAUUGAACGCUGGCGGCAGGCCUAACACAUGCAAGUCGAGCGGUAACAUGUCUAGCUUGCUAGAUGAUGACGAGCGGCGGACGGGUGAGUAAUGCUUGGGGAUCUGCCUUAGAGUGGAGGAUAACCAUUGGAAACGAUGGCUAAUACUGCAUAGUAUCUGCGGAUUAAAGGGGGCUUCGGCCCUUGCUUUAAGAUGAACCCAAGUGGGAUUAGCUAGUUGGUGAGGUAAUGGCUCACCAAGGCGACGAUCCCUAGCUGGUCUGAGAGGAUGAUCAGCCACACUGGAACUGAGACACGGUCCAGACUCCUACGGGAGGCAGCAGUGGGGAAUAUUGCACAAUGGGCGAAAGCCUGAUGCAGCCAUGCCGCGUGUGUGAAGAAGGCCCUAGGGUUGUAAAGCACUUUCAGUCAGGAGGAAAGGUUAGUAGUUAAUACCUGCUAGCUGUGACGUUACUGACAGAAGAAGCACCGGCUAACUUCGUGCCAGCAGCCGCGGUAAUACGGAGGGUGCGAGCGUUAAUCGGAAUUACUGGGCGUAAAGCGCAUGCAGGUGGUUUGUUAAGCAAGAUGUGAAAGCCCGGGGCUCAACCUCGGAACAGCAUUUUGAACUGGCAGACUAGAGUCCUGUAGAGGGGGGUAGAAUUUCA